ensembl:lncRNA SEC24B-AS1 SEC24B antisense RNA 1
GGGAAGGCGGGGCCGGAGAGGAGAGAGGAAGAGGAAGGAACGCGCCUGGCGUCACUGAGGGUGUCACCCGGGACCGCGGCUCAGGAACCCCAGACGCACGGGCCUUGUGCUGUCGCUGCCGUGGCACCCCUUCUAGAAGGACUCUAUUCUCUAUAACAGAAGUGGGAGCCUUGGACAACUGAACGCCUAUCUCUAGCUCAAGAAAUGUCAGCUCUUUUUUUUUUUUUGAGACUGUCACCCAGUCGGGAGUACAGUGGCGCCAUCUUGGCUCUCUGUAACCUCCACCUCCUGGGUUCAAGCGAUUCUCCUGCCUCAGCCUCCUGAGUAGCUGGGGCUACAGGUAUGCACCAUCACUCCUGGCUAAUUGUUGUAUUUUUAGUAGAUAAUGGGGUUUCACCAUGUUGGCCAGGGUGGUCUCAAACUCCUGACCUCAGGUGAUCUGCCUGCCUCGGCCUCCCAAAGUGCUGGGAUUACAGACGUGAGCCACCAUGCCCAGCCAAGAAAUGUCAAUUCUUUAUCGUAGCCUGGCUUUCCAUAUUUCUCACUAGGGUUUUUAUUCUCUAGUUUGUAAAUCACAUUUGGCGUUUGUAGAUCACUCCUUCCCUUUUAGUGGCAUUCUCUAUUAGGUGUCCAUCUCCCAAUAUGAAGAAACAGUUUUCUGCUUUUUCCUCCUUUAUCUGAUCCAUUUACAGAUUUAUUACAUUUAUAAUAGGCUAGGUAUUGGGGAUACAAAAAUGAAUAAGAUAUGGUCUGUUUUCAAAGGUAUGCAGAAACUUUUCUAUAUAUUCCUACUGACUUGUAUUUGUAUUUCUUGAAUUAAAAACAAUCCUGGCUGUGUUUUUUUUUUUUUUUUUUUGCUCUUAGUGAAUCUUUGUUUCUUCUUUUCAUUAUGGCAUUCCAGUUGAGUUUCACCACGCAUUAUCAUGAGAAUAAAUAAUUUCACUGACUUUAAUAAUA